GAACGGUAACAGGAAGAAGCUUGCUUCUUUGUUGACGAGUGGCGGACGGGUGAGUAAUGUCUGGGAAACUGCCUGAUGGAGGGGGAUAACUACUGGAAACGGUAGCUAAUACCGCAUAACGUCGCAAGACCAAAGAGGGGGACCUUCGGGCCUCUUGCCAUCGGAUGUGCCCAGAUGGGAUUAGCUAGUAGGUGGGGUAACGGCUCACCUAGGCGACGAUCCCUAGCUGGUCUGAGAGGAUGACCAGCCACACUGGAACUGAGACACGGUCCAGACUC
rnacentral:rRNA from 1 species